rnacentral:rRNA from 1 species
GGGGGAAUAUUGGACAAUGGGGGAAACCCUGAUCCAGCGAUGCCGCGUGGGUGAAGAAGGCCUGCGGGUUGUAAAGCCCUUUUAGUAGGGACGAAAUGCUUCGACCUAAUACGUCGGGGAGUUGACUUAACCUACAGAAAAAGCACCGGCUAACUCCGUGCCAGCAGCCGCGGUAAUACGGAGGGUGCGAGCGUUAAUCGGAAUUACUGGGCGUAAAGCGCGCGUAGGCGGCUUGGUAAGUCAGUUGUGA